rnacentral:rRNA from 1 species
AGUUUGAUCCGUGGCUUAAGACGAACGCUGGCGGCAUGGAUUAGGCAUGCAAGUCGAACGGAUGCAGCAAUGCAUUAGUGGCGAAAGGGUGAGGAACGCGUGAGUAACCUGCCCCAAGUUGGAAUAACAGUUGGAAACGACUGCUAAUACCUGAUGCGAUUGUUUUUUCGGCAUCGAGAAACAAUUAAAGAUUUAUCGCUUGGGGAUGGGCUCGCGUCCCAUUAGGUAGUUGGUGAGGUAACGGCUCACCAAGCCGACGAUGGGUAGCUGGUCUGAGAGGAUGGUCAGCCACACUGGGACUGAGACACUGCCCAGACUCCUACGGGAGGCUGCAGUCGAGAAUCUUCCGCAAUGCGCGAAAGCGUGACGGAGCAAAUGCCGCGUGCCGGAUGAAGGUCUUCGGAUCGUAAACGGCUGUCAGAUGGGACGAAUAAAGUGACGGUACCAUCAAAGGAAGACCACGGCUAACUACGUGCCAGCCGCUGC